rnacentral:rRNA from 1 species
UUGUCCUUAGUUACCAGCACGUUAUGGUGGGCACUCUAAGGAGACUGCCGGUGACAAACCGGAGGAAGGUGGGGAUGACGUCAAGUCAUCAUGGCCCUUACGGCCUGGGCUACACACGUGCUACAAUGGUCGGUACAAAGGGUUGCCAAGCCGCGAGGUGGAGCUAAUCCCAUAAAACCGAUCGUAGUCCGGAUCGCAGUCUGCAACUCGACUGCGUGAAGUCGGAAUCGCUAGUAAUCGUGAAUCAGAAUGUCACGGUCGAAUACGUUCCCGGGCCUU